CCUAGCGUAAACAACUGAAGAUGACGGUGAUCAAUCACUAACAGGAGUUUGAUGUGAUAAGCAAUAGAGCCAUUAAACUGAAAAUGAAUUAAUGCUUAUUACAUUUAAUCAUAUUUAGGGCAAUUCAUUCUUUAAUAGACAGCAUCUCUUUCUGAAACUAUUCAUAUCACUAAAAUUUACUACAAUAUUAUUGCCACUCUUGCUAGGGAACAUUGGAAUUUUUUUCUCAGAAGCAAAAAAAAAUAAAGUAUAUUUAUUUCACUCUAUUUUUGCAUUCCAGUGUGAAAUACUGCAAUAGCCUGGAAGCAUUUCGUGCUUUCUAGCAUGCUCAUGAAGAAGAGAGUUCAAUGAGAGUUGUAUUUCACAGAAUUACUAGAACAGCGAUGAUGCCCUGUUUGUAUUUCAAAGUUUAUGUACAGAGCAACAGCUGAUAACAGUUCUCAUCUGGAGAAACUGGAGGCCCUAACUCUUGAGGAACCUCCACAAAUAAAUUACAGCCAAGGAAAUAUCAGAAAACUACACAGCUGCUGUGAACCAAGGAUAACAAGCAGAUCUAAAGGAUGGAACCCCACUGAUGAGUCAGCAUAGGCCCGUUUUUGAAGUAAGCUGUUUCUUCACACUGGAGAAAUUUAAACAACUUUUGAAAGAAAUGGGUCAUUACAUUUGAGACAAGUAUAAACUUUGAGAUAAAAAUCACCUCUGAGAUAGCAUACCAAUAUAAUUGUAAAGUGUUUCUCAUUGUAUAUUACUCAGACUGUUAGCUUGUUCAUUGCCUAUGUACUACUAUGCAGGAAAAAAAAAAGUAAAAAAAAGUUCUAGAACAUGCUCCAGGUAACAUUGUGGUGAGAGGUUAUAAACAGCACAAAAUUUUCAUUACAAAUGUCUGCCCCAGCAAAGGACUUAAAAUAGCAACAUAAUCUGAGGAUAUGGCAACAUAACUCGAUUUCCUAGUUAACUGAGAAAAUUCUAAGUGAACUAGCCAUUCAUUAACACAACUAAUAGCUAACUUUUUAUUAGUGUUUCAGGUUGCUCUAGUAUGAAAGAUUUUAGUGCUAGACACUGCUGAAUGAGAGGUUUAAAAUAGUUUUAGAAUGCAGACAAGCAGAAAUAAUGCCCUAUACAUCUGAAUACUACUGUCAGUUAUCAAUAGAAGAUGAAUAAGAAAGCUAACUAAAUAAUAAUGAAAACCAUGGCAUUAAUUAUUUAAUUACCUAAACACUGACAGUAUUAGGCAUUUCAUUUUACAGUUUAACUAUAGGUAUGAAACUAAAUAGUAGGAAAAAAAGAGAAAUAGGACUAAAUCCAUUCUAUCUAAUUGUGUUAGUGUGGGAAGAAAAGUGUAGAUAUACCAAAUGUUCCUAAAUCAUAGAGGGCCAAAGUGCAGCAAGUGCUCUCCUAAGCACUAACCUUCUUUGUGCCAGUAUUUAAUCAGUAGUGCUGACAGACUGUCAUCAGAAGUCUGAACUGGGAAGAGCAGUUGUCAAAGCACAGAAAUACAAAUAGUAUCAGGAACAGCAGGAGAUACGUGAACCAAGAAUAACAUGCUUUGGAGAAGAUGCAUCAGUUUGAACAAAAGCUUUCCCAUCUUCAGAAUGAAGCAUCUGGUACCUGACAUCCCUGCAAUAAAAGCAUUCAUCUUGACA
ensembl:lncRNA